UACACACCGCCCGUCACACCAUGGAAGCGGGUUGCUCCAGAAGUCGAUAUACCAACCUCAAAAAGGGGGAAAUCGCCUAAGGAGUGAUUCGUGACUGGGGUG
rnacentral:rRNA from 1 species